AUUGAACGCUGGCGGCAUGCCUUACACAUGCAAGUCGAACGGCAGCACGGGAGCAAUCCUGGUGGCGAGUGGCGAACGGGUGAGUAAUAUAUCGGAACGUGCCCAGUCGUGGGGGAUAACGCAGCGAAAGCUGUGCUAAUACCGCAUACGAUCUAAGGAUGAAAGCGGGGGAUCGCAAGACCUCGCGCGAUUGGAGCGGCCGAUAUCAGAUUAGCUAGUUGGUGGGGUAAAGGCCCACCAAGGCGACGAUCUGUAGCUGGUCUGAGAGGACGACCAGCCACACUGGAACUGAGACACGGUCCAGACUCCUACGGGAGGCAGCAGUGGGGAAUUUUGGACAAUGGGCGCAAGCCUGAUCCAGCAAUGCCGCGUGCAGGAUGAAGGCCUUCGGGUUGUAAACUGCUUUUGUACGGAACGAAACGGCCCUUUCUAAUACAGGGGGCUAAUGACGGUACCGUAAGAAUAAGCACCGGCUAACUACGUGCCAGCCGCCGCCGUAA
rnacentral:rRNA from 1 species